rnacentral:misc_RNA from 1 species
GAUGAAGAACGUAGCGAAAUGCGAUACGUAAUGUGAAUUGCAGAAUUCAGUGAAUCAUCGAAUCUUUGAACGCAUAUUGCGCUCUCUGGUAUUCCGGAGAGCAUGCUUGUUUGAGUAUCAGUAAACACCUCAACUCCCUUUCUUCUUGAAAUGGAGUUGGACUUGAGUGAUCCCAACGCUUUAUUCAUAAAGUGGCGGGUUACUUGAAAUGCAGGUGCAGCUGGACUUUUCUCUGAGCUAUAAGCAUAUCUAUUUAGUCUGCCUCAAAACAGAUUAUUACCUUUGCUGCAGCUAACAUAAAGGAGAUUAGUUCUUGUGCUGACUGAUGCAGGAUUCACAAAGACCGCUUCGGCUGUCUUUGUAAACUCGAUCUCAAAUCAAGUAAGACUACCCGCUGAACUUAAGCAUAUCAAUAAGCGGAGGA